GACGAACGCUGGCGGCGUGCUUAACACAUGCAAGUCGAACGAUGAACCCGGAGCUUGCUCCGGCGGAUUAGUGGCGAACGGGUGAGUAACACGUGAGUAACCUGCCCUUGACUCUGGGAUAACUGCGGGAAACUGUAGCUAAUACCGGAUACGACCCUCGGCGGCAUCGCCAGGGGGUGGAAAGAAUUUCGGGCAAGGAUGGACUCGCGGCCUAUCAGCCAGUUGGUGAGGUAACGGCUCACCAAGGCGACGACGGGUAGCCGGCCUGAGAGGGUGACCGGCCACACUGGGACUGAGACACGGCCCAGACUCCUACGGGAGGCAGCAGUGGGGAAUAUUGCACAAUGGGCGCAAGCCUGAUGCAGCAACGCCGCGUGAGGGAUGACGGCCUUCGGGUUGUAAACCUCUUUUAGUAGGGAAGAAGCGAAAGUGACGGUACCUGCAGAAAAAGCACCGGCUAACUACGUGCCAGCCGCCGCCGUAA
rnacentral:rRNA from 1 species